GGGUUGUGAGGUUAAGCGACUAAGCGUACACGGUGGAUGCCCUGGCAGUCAGAGGCGAUGAAGGACGUGCUAAUCUGCGAUAAGCGUCGGUGAGGUGAUAUGAACCGUUAUAACCGGCGAUUUCCGAAUGGGGAAACCCAGUGUGUUUCGACACACUAUCAUUAACUGAAUCCAUAGGUUAAUGAGGCGAACCGGGGGAACUGAAACAUCUAAGUACCCCGAGGAAAAGAAAUCAACCGAGAUUCCCCCAGUAGCGGCGAGCGAACGGGGAGGAGCCCAGAGCCUGAAUCAGUGUGUGUGUUAGUGGAAGCGUCUGGAAAGGCGUGCGAUACAGGGUGACAGCCCCGUACACAAAAAUGCACAUAUUGUGAGCUCGAUGAGUAGGGCGGGACACGUGGUAUCCUGUCUGAAUAUGGGGGGACCAUCCUCCAAGGCUAAAUACUCCUGACUGACCGAUAGUGAACCAGUACCGUGAGGGAAAGGCGAAAAGAACCCCGGCGAGGGGAGUGAAAAAGAACCUGAAACCGUGUACGUACAAGCAGUGGGAGCCUCUUUAUGGGGUGACUGCGUACCUUUUGUAUAAUGGGUCAGCGACUUAUAUUCUGUAGCAAGGUUAACCGAAUAGGGGAGCCGAAGGGAAACCGAGUCUUAACUGGGCGUUAAGUUGCAGGGUAUAGACCCGAAACCCGGUGAUCUAGCCAUGGGCAGGUUGAAGGUUGGGUAACACUAACUGGAGGACCGAACCGACUAAUGUUGAAAAAUUAGCGGAUGACUUGUGGCUGGGGGUGAAAGGCCAAUCAAACCGGGAGAUAGCUGGUUCUCCCCGAAAGCUAUUUAGGUAGCGCCUCGUGAAUUCAUCUCCGGGGGUAGAGCACUGUUUCGGCAAGGGGGUCAUCCCGACUUACCAACCCGAUGCAAACUGCGAAUACCGGAGAAUGUUAUCACGGGAGACACACGGCGGGUGCUAACGUCCGUCGUGAAGAGGGAAACAACCCAGACCGCCAGCUAAGGUCCCAAAGUCAUGGUUAAGUGGGAAACGAUGUGGGAAGGCCCAGACAGCCAGGAUGUUGGCUUAGAAGCAGCCAUCAUUUAAAGAAAGCGUAAUAGCUCACUGGUCGAGUCGGCCUGCGCGGAAGAUGUAACGGGGCUAAACCAUGCACCGAAGCUGCGGCAGCGACACUAUGUGUUGUUGGGUAGGGGAGCGUUCUGUAAGCCUGUGAAGGUGGCCUGUGAGGGUUGCUGGAGGUAUCAGAAGUGCGAAUGCUGACAUAAGUAACGAUAAAGCGGGUGAAAAGCCCGCUCGCCGGAAGACCAAGGGUUCCUGUCCAACGUUAAUCGGGGCAGGGUGAGUCGACCCCUAAGGCGAGGCCGAAAGGCGUAGUCGAUGGGAAACAGGUUAAUAUUCCUGUACUUGGUGUUACUGCGAAGGGGGGACGGAGAAGGCUAUGUUGGCCGGGCGACGGUUGUCCCGGUUUAAGCGUGUAGGCUGGUUUUCCAGGCAAAUCCGGAAAACCAAGGCUGAGGCGUGAUGACGAGGCACUACGGUGCUGAAGCGACAAAUGCCCUGCUUCCAGGAAAAGCCUCUAAGCAUCAGGUAACAUCAAAUCGUACCCCAAACCGACACAGGUGGUCAGGUAGAGAAUACCAAGGCGCUUGAGAGAACUCGGGUGAAGGAACUAGGCAAAAUGGUGCCGUAACUUCGGGAGAAGGCACGCUGAUAUGUAGGUGAAGCGACUUGCUCGUGGAGCUGAAAUCAGUCGAAGAUACCAGCUGGCUGCAACUGUUUAUUAAAAACACAGCACUGUGCAAACACGAAAGUGGACGUAUACGGUGUGACGCCUGCCCGGUGCCGGAAGGUUAAUUGAUGGGGUUAGCGGUAACGCGAAGCUCUUGAUCGAAGCCCCGGUAAACGGCGGCCGUAACUAUAACGGUCCUAAGGUAGCGAAAUUCCUUGUCGGGUAAGUUCCGACCUGCACGAAUGGCGUAAUGAUGGCCAGGCUGUCUCCACCCGAGACUCAGUGAAAUUGAACUCGCUGUGAAGAUGCAGUGUACCCGCGGCAAGACGGAAAGACCCCGUGAACCUUUACUAUAGCUUGACACUGAACAUUGAGCCUUGAUGUGUAGGAUAGGUGGGAGGCUUUGAAGUGUGGACGCCAGUCUGCAUGGAGCCGACCUUGAAAUACCACCCUUUAAUGUUUGAUGUUCUAACGUUGGCCCGUAAUCCGGGUUGCGGACAGUGUCUGGUGGGUAGUUUGACUGGGGCGGUCUCCUCCUAAAGAGUAACGGAGGAGCACGAAGGUUGGCUAAUCCUGGUCGGACAUCAGGAGGUUAGUGCAAUGGCAUAAGCCAGCUUGACUGCGAGCGUGACGGCGCGAGCAGGUGCGAAAGCAGGUCAUAGUGAUCCGGUGGUUCUGAAUGGAAGGGCCAUCGCUCAACGGAUAAAAGGUACUCCGGGGAUAACAGGCUGAUACCGCCCAAGAGUUCAUAUCGACGGCGGUGUUUGGCACCUCGAUGUCGGCUCAUCACAUCCUGGGGCUGAAGUAGGUCCCAAGGGUAUGGCUGUUCGCCAUUUAAAGUGGUACGCGAGCUGGGUUUAGAACGUCGUGAGACAGUUCGGUCCCUAUCUGCCGUGGGCGCUGGAGAACUGAGGGGGGCUGCUCCUAGUACGAGAGGACCGGAGUGGACGCAUCACUGGUGUUCGGGUUGUCAUGCCAAUGGCACUGCCCGGUAGCUAAAUGCGGAAGAGAUAAGUGCUGAAAGCAUCUAAGCACGAAACUUGCCCCGAGAUGAGUUCUCCCUGACUCCUUGAGAGNUCCUGAAGGAACGUUGAAGACGACGACGUUGAUAGGCCGGGUGUGUAAGCGCAGCGAUGCGUUGAGCUAACCGGUACUAAUGAACCGUGAGGCUUAACCUUACAACGCCGAAG
rnacentral:rRNA from 1 species